AAAAUUGAUUUGGGACCGCACAAGCGGUGGAUGAUGUGGAUUAAUCUGAUGCAACGCGAAAAACCUUACCUACCCUUGACAUGUCUGGAAUCCCGAAGAGAUUUGGGAGUGCUCGCAAGAGAACCGGAACACAGGUGCUGCAUGGCUGUCGUCAGCUCGUGUCGUGAGAUGUUGGGUUAAGUCCCGCAACGAGCAACCCUUGUCAUUAGUUGCUACGAAAGGCACUUGUCGAGAUCUGCUGGUGACAAACCGAGGAAGGUGGGAUGACGUCAAGUCCUCAUGGCCCUUAUGGGUAGGGCUUCACACGUCAUACAAUGGUCGGGACAGAGGGCUGCCAACCCGCGAGGGGGAGCCAAUCCCAGAAACCCGAUCGUAGUCCGGAUCGCAGUCUGCAACUCGACUGCGUGGGAAUGGAAUCGCUAGUAAUCGUGAUCAGCAUGUCGCGGUGAAUAGUUCCCGGGCCUUGUACACACCGCCCGUCACACCAUGGGAGUGGGUUUUACCAGAAGUAGUUAGCCUAACCGUAAGGAGGGCGAUUACCACGGUAGGAUUCAUGACUGGGGUGAAGUCGUAACAAGGUAA
rnacentral:misc_RNA from 1 species